GAGCGCUCGUAGCAAUACGAGAGCGGCAGACGGGAGAGUAACUCGUGGGAACGUACCCUUCGGUUCGGAACAACCCAGGGAAACUUGGGCUAAUACCGGAUACGUCCGUAAGGAGAAAGAUUCAUCGCCGAAGGAUCGGCCCGCGUCUGAUUAGCUAGUUGGUGAGGUAACGGCUCACCAAGGCGACGAUCAGUAGCUGGUCUGAGAGGAUGAUCAGCCUCACUGGGACUGAGACACGGCCCAGACUCCUACGGGAGGCAGCAGUGGGGAAUAUUGGACAAUGGGCGCAAGCCUGAUCCAGCCAUGCCGCGUGGGUGAUGAACGCCCUAGGGUUGUAAAGCCCUUUCGGCGGGGAAGAUAAUGACGGUACCCGCAGAAGAAGCCCCGGCUAACUUCGUG
rnacentral:rRNA from 1 species